rnacentral:rRNA from 1 species
AUUGAACGCUGGCGGCAGGCUUAACACAUGCAAGUCGAGCGAGCGGCGGACGGGUGAGUAAUGUCUGGGAAACUGCCUGAUGGAGGGGGAUAACUACUGGAAACGGUAGCUAAUACCGCAUACCAUCAGAUGUGCCCCGAUGGGAUUAGCUGGUAGGGGGGGUAAUGGCUCACCUAGGCGACGACCCCUAGCUGGUCUGAGAGGAUGACCAGCCAAACUGGAAAGAGGACACGGUCCGGAUUCUCACGUGAGACAGCGGGGGGGAAUAUUGCACAGUGGGCGCAAGCCUGAGGCAGCCAUGCCGCGUGUGUGAAGAAGUCCUUCGGGUUGUAAAGCACUUUAAUCGAGGAGGCGUGACUCGCAGAAGAGGCACCGGCUAACUCCGGGCCAGCAGCGGCGGUAAUAC